rnacentral:rRNA from 1 species
GUGCCAGAAGAAUCGGUAAUACAGAGGUCUCAAGCGUUGUUCGGAUUCAUUGGGCGUAAAGGGUGCGUAGGUGGCGGGGUAAGUCUGGUGUGAAAUCUCGGAGCUCAACUCCGAAACUGCACUGGAUACUGCCUUGCUCGAGUACUGGAGAGGAGAUUGGAAUUUACGGUGUAGCAGUGAAAUGCGUAGAUAUCGUAAGGAAGACCAGUGGCGAAGGCGAAUCUCUGGACAGUUACUGACACUGAGGCACGAAGGCCAGGGGAGCAAACGGGAUUAGAUACCCCGGUAGUCCACGCCGUAAACGAUGAUAACUAGCUGUCCGGGUUCAUAGAACUUGGGUGGCGCAGCUAACGCAUUAAGUUAUCCGCCUGGGGAGUACGGUCGCAAGAUUAAAACUCAAAUGAAUUGACGG